rnacentral:ncRNA from 1 species
CCCAUAGGAUCGGGGUCCGGUUCCGCUGGUGAUCAGCCAGCGGAGGCAACGGGGAAAGCCGGUGAAAGACCGGCACUGUCCCGCAGCUGUGAAGGCAGAUCGAGCCUGGCUCCCUGUGCCCAGUCAGAACGCCCGCCGGAUUUCCUGAACUCUCG